AGGAAGUAGCUGACAGCUGAAAUGUGGAAAAUUGAAAGAAUUCGAAAAGUGAAAUCAAUAUCAGCAUAAGUUAACAUGUAUGAUUUUAAUUUAAUGUUUCAUCCAUAUUUAGAUUAUUUACAAGUCCAUUUUUCAUCAUUUGCCGAUUGCCACGUAAUGACGACCAUAUGUUGAAGCUGGCCAGGAAUUCUAAGCUGUCAUAAAUCCUGCAGCUAUGCAUGUUCUGUAAAUGGUGAAACUCAAAUGAAUCCAAGAACUUUGAGUUGUCAUUUCGCUUAAUUGACUGUCUUUUCCGAUUUUAAUAAUGGUGAUAUUGCAGACAUACCAUAUUGCAAGUACUUAGCUGAGCAGCUGAGCUCUUCCUUUCUGUGGUUCCUUUCAAUUGGUUCAUUUGAGUGGAAUGCCGAGAGAUGUUGAACCAAUUCCAGGUUAACCCUUCGACAUUGUGCUACAAUUUGAAGAAGUUGAUGGUUACAGAAGAACUUACUUUCAAUCAACAUCAAUAAGUUUUGUGGAUGUUUUCUGUGACAUUGUUUACCUAACUAACCAGUCCAAUGCCAGUCAGUGUUUACUCACACGCUGUAAAACUAGGAGGAUAAGAAAAGCCGGGGUAGUAAGGGGUACCUUGUAAAGCACAUGACCUAUUGACAACUUUUGGUAGUUUAACCAAGAAUCUUAUUAUGAUUUAUCAUUUUAUGUUUAAGAUAUUGUUUUUACACCUUGUUGUGCUACAAUUCAGUUCAAUUAUGAAAAUUACAAAUUUGAAUUCUA